GUGGGGAAUUUUGGACAAUGGGCGAAAGCCUGAUCCAGCCAUGCCGCGUGCAGGAUGAAGGCCUUCGGGUUGUAAACUGCUUUUGUACGGAACGAAAAGACUCCUUCUAAUAAAGGGGGUCCAUGACGGUACCGUAAGAAUAAGCACCGGCUAACUACGUGCCAGCAGCCGCGGUAAUACGUAGGGUGCAAGCGUUAAUCGGAAUUACUGGGCGUAAAGCGUGCGCAGGCGGUUAUAUAAGACAGAUGUGAAAUCCCCGGGCUCAACCUGGGAACUGCAUGUGUGACUGUAUAGCUAGAGUACGGUAGAGGGGGAUGGAAUUCCGCGUGUAGCAGUGAAAUGCGUAGAUAUGCGGAGGAACACCGAUGGCGAAGGCAAUCCCCUGGACCUGUACUGACGCUCAUGCACGAAAGCGUGGGGAGCAAACAGGAUUAGAAACCCUGGUAGUCC
rnacentral:rRNA from 1 species